AACCUGGUUGAUCCUGCCAGUAGUCAUACGCUUGUCUCAAAGAUUAAGCCAUGCAUGUGUAAGUAUAAACAAUUCUAUACUGUGAAACUGCGAAUGGCUCAUUAUAUCAGUUAUAGUUUAUUUGAUAGUACUUUGCUACUUGGAUAACCGUAGUAAUUCUAGAGCUAAUACAUGCACAAAAUCCCGACUUUCUUGGAAGGGACGUAUAUAUUAGAAUGAAACCAAUCGGCGCUUGCGCUGUAUUGUGGUGAGUCAUAAUAUCUUAUCGGAUCGCAGUGGUCUUGUACCGGCGAUGAAUCAUUCAAGUUUCUGC
rnacentral:rRNA from 1 species